UUGACCUCAAAUCAGGUAGGACUACCCGCUGAACUUAAGCAUAUCAAUAAGCGGAGGAAAAGAAACUAACAAGGAUUCCCCUAGUAACUGCGAGUGAAGCGGGAAAAGCUCAAAUUUUGAAUCUGGCGGUCUUUGCAGAC
rnacentral:rRNA from 1 species